rnacentral:rRNA from 1 species
CAGCAGCCACGGUAAUACGUAGGUGGCAAGCGUUAUCCGGAAUUAUUGGGCGUAAAGCGCGCGUAGGCGGUUUUUUAAGUCUGAUGUGAAAGCCCACGGCUCAACCGUGGAGGGUCAUUGGAAACUGGAAAACUUGAGUGCAGAAGAGGAAAGUGGAAUUCCAUGUGUAGCGGUGAAAUGCGCAGAGAUAUGGAGGAACACCAGUGGCGAAGGCGACUUUCUGGUCUGUAACUGACGCUGAUGUGCGAAAGCGUGGGGAUCAAACAGGAUUAGAGACCCCUGUAGUCCCUGUCUCUUAUAC